AGGGUGGUCUUUUAACUGGCAGGAAAACAGAUUCUGAAUCUGUGAGUCCAGGUUCAAAUCCUGGUCACCCAU
rnacentral:tRNA from 1 species